GAUGAACGCUGGCGGCGUGCCUAAUACAUGCAAGUCGAGCGAACAGACGCGGCUCUUGCUCCUCUGACGUUAGCGGCGGACGGGUGAGUAACACGUGGAUAACCUACCUAUAAGACUGGGAUAACUUCGGGAAACCGGAGCUAAUACCGUAUAAUAUAUUGAACCGCAUGGUUCAAUAGUGAAAGACGGUUUUGCUGUCACUUAUAGAUGGAUCCGCGCCGCAUUAGCUAGUUGUUAAGGUAACGGCUUACCAAGGCAACGAUGCGUAGCCGACCUGAGAGGGUGAUAGGCCACACUGGAACUGAGACACGGUCCAGACUCCUACGGGAGGCAGCAGUAGGGAAUCGUCCGCAAUGGGCGAAAGCCUGACGGAGCAACGCCGCGUGAGUGAUGAAGGUCUUCGGAUCGUAAAACUCUGUUAUUAGGGAAGAACAAAUGUGUAAGUAACUAUGCACGGCUUGACGGUACCUAAUCAGAAAGCCACGGCUAACUACGUG
rnacentral:rRNA from 1 species